GGGUUUCGGCUUGUUCGAAGCGCAGACUUGUAAUCCCUUGGUCGCAGGUUCGAAUCCCGCACGGCCUACCA
rnacentral:tRNA from 2 species